rnacentral:tRNA from 1 species
AGAGAGUAGUCUAAGAAGGAUGGUAGCUUUGGGAGUUAUUGGUGUAAGUUAGAGUUCUUACUUUUCUGA